GUUGUAUAGUUAAGUGACUAAGCGUACAAGGUGGAUGCCUUGGCAAUCAGAGGCGAAGAAGGACGUGCUAAUCUGCGAAAAGCUUGGAUGAGUCGAUAAGAGGCGUUUAAUCCAAGAUAUCCGAAUGGGGAAACCCAGUAGAUGAAGAAUCUACUAUCAACAAGUGAAUUCAUAGCUUGUUGAGGCAAACCGGGAGAACUGAAACAUCUAAGUACCCCGAGGAAAAGAAAUCAACCGAGAUUUCGUCAGUAGCGGCGAGCGAAAGCGAAAGAGCCAGUAAGUGAUAGCAGUAUAGUGAGGAGAAUGUGUUGGGAAGCACAAUCAAAGAGGGUGAUAAUCCCGUAUCUAAAAACCAUAUUGUGGUACUAAGCUAACGAGAAGUAGGGCGGGACACGUGAUAUCCUGUUUGAAGAAGGGGGGCCCAUCCUCCAAGGCUAAAUACUCCUGAUUGACCGAUAGUGAACCAGUACUGUGAAGGAAAGGCGAAAAGAACCCCGGUGAGGGGAGUGAAAUAGAACCUGAAACCUUGUACGUACAAGCAGUGGGAGCCCCAUCACUUAAUCCGAUUGGAAGGUGAUGAAAAGCAACCGCACUUAAACAAUGGUAAGAGGAGCGAAGCGAGUCAAACCACCCAAAAGAAGCAGUGGGAUUAAGUGAUGGGGUGACUGCGUACCUUUUGUAUAAUGGGUCAGCGACUUAUAUUUUGUAGCGAGGUUAACUGAAUAAGGGAGCCGAAGGGAAACCGAGUCUUAACUGGGCGAAGAGUUGCAAGGUAUAGACCCGAAACCCGGUGAUCUAGCCAUGGGCAGGUUGAAGGUUGGGUAACACUAACUGGAGGACCGAACCGACUAAUGUUGAAAAAUUAGCGGAUGACUUGUGGCUGGGGGUGAAAGGCCAAUCAAACCGGGAGAUAGCUGGUUCUCCCCGAAAUCUAUUUAGGUAGAGCCUUGAGCUUACACCUUUGGGGGUAGAGCACUGUUUCGGCUAGGGGUCCAUCCCGGAUUACCAACCCGAUGCAAACUACGAAUACCAAAGAGUGAUACUCAGGAGACACACGGCGGGUGCUAACGUCCGUCGUGGAGAGGGAAACAACCCAGACCGCCAGCUAAGGUCCCCAAGUCUAUAUUAAGUGGGAAACGAAGUGGGAAGGCUUAGACAGCUAGGAUGUUGGCUUAGAAGCAGCCAUCAUUUAAAGAAAGCGUAAUAGCUCACUAGUCGAGUCGGCCUGCGCGGAAGAUGUAACGGGGCUGAAAUAUAGCACCGAAGCUGCGGCAUCAGGCGUAUCACUAAUACGCCUUACGAUUAACAACAUGGAAUGGCGCGAAGCGUCAUGAAAGGUUGUUCAAGCAACCCGAACGUUGAGUCGGGCAUCUUAGAGUAAGGAUGAUUAGUGAUACGCCUGUUGGGUAGGGGAGCGUUGUGUAAGCGGAAGAAGGUUCAUCGAGAGGUGGGCUGGACGUAUC
rnacentral:rRNA from 1 species